GGCAAUUCUUCAGAAGUUAUGGCAACAAAAUUAUACAAGAAGCCAUGUUUCAGGUGUGGGAAACAUGGACACAGAGAAAAGAAUUGCCCAGAGCCUUCAGGAAACGUGAAAGCACCAGGUCUUUGACCAAGAUGCAGAAGAGGAAGACCUUAUGCAAGUCAAUGUCACUCAAAGAUAGAUGUGGAUGGAAAACUCCUACCCCUUCCAGGGAAUGGGACGAGAAGCACACAAGUAAUGACAGUGACUCAGCAGUCUGGGAUCCUUCAAGGAACACAAUCUGUGGGGAACCCCAAUCAAACUCCAUCUGCAGAACCAUCUACAACUUUCCAAACAACCCAGAAUUGGCAAAUUCCUAAUUAGCAUACUUUAUGAAUGAGAAUGAGAUUGAGAAUUAUGCAGUGAUUCCCACGGGGGUCACUGGAACAUCAUGGAGGAAACAAGAAUUUUAAUUAUAAGCAAAGACAGAAAAAGUACUCUACAGCUCAUUGUCUAUUCAUCAGUCAUCUCAAUGAACUGUGAUGAAGAGUUAACAGUUUUGACCCAGCCCUUGCAUCCUCUGUUGAUCAUUCCAAGGAAUGCACCAAUAGUCAAGGCCAUUGCUUUGCCAUCAAAUAGAACACAAAAAGGGAAGUGGAAUUUUGAUGAAAGUCACUGCAACACUCACUACCUUGAGAUGAACUUGAAAGACAGACAAUCUUGUCUGGGUAAGCCGGUAGUCCCUGAGACAGAAGAAACUGAGUGUGCCCAAGAAACUGGUGAAAGAUCAAUUUCAGAAAGAUCACAUCAAGACAAUAAAUAGUCCCUGGAAUUCUCUGGUGUUUUGUCAUCCAUAAGAAAACCUCCAACUCAUGGAGAUUGUUUCACUUCAGCUCGGACUGCCCAAUCUCUCAAUGAUUCUGAGAGACUGAUCGCUUGUAAUCAUUGAUCUGAAAGAUUGCUUCUUCAACAUUCCAUGUCAUCCAGCCACCAGAGACGCAUCCUGACAACUAGUUCCUAUGGAUAGUGAUGACUGAUGAAUAACAAUGAUUGCAGAUCAACCCUAAUGCUUGCUAGAAUGUUGUAAUGCAUUAAGGAACAUGGUAUGAUCCGGAGAGACACCCUUUGAGCUGCAGAGUGGUUAGUCUCUUCCCCUGACUCCUCCCUUGUAAUGUUUUUCUAUUGGCUGUAAUUUGUAAUCCUUCCCCCCUUUCGCCUCCCUUCAAAAAGCAGCACUGGGCCAGUCUCUUCCUCCUUUCUGCAUGGGAUCCCCUGAAUAAAGCUGGGACCUUGUCCCAGGAAGAGAAGAGCCUCGUUUUUACCUCUAAUCCUUGCUAUUUAGAUAAAACCCCCCCUCCUCUGGACCAUGGCUGGGCAGAACGUGACCCCAGGGAAGCAGGGGGAAUAAAAAUAGCAGUUGGUGCCCAUUGGUGGGGCUUUUUAGAGACCCCCAAGAGUGGCUAAAAGCUCACGUGUGUGUUUCGCAAGCCUGGAAGAUGUCAGCUACCAUGCGACCUACAGCACAGGCACAGCUCACAAGGCAGAGGCUGGUAGCCUUCUCCAGCCCGGAGAAGGUCAGUCUCAGGAAUAGGGAUCUUCUUAACUGCCCAAGAAAACUGAGGAUGUAAAAGCAGUCUAACCAUUGGACAGUCAUUGGAGUGAACCUGCAGGAUAAUUCACAAGACAUGGCAUGACUGGAUAAAAAAGCCUACCUCACACUCAAACCCAUGAUGAGCCUUACCUCUGCUGUCAUCCUGCUCACACUGAGCAGUCUGGCAGCUGCCUGGAUUGUCCCUCAGCCACAACAGAACAUCUGGGUGACCGUGGCACAAACACUCCAGCAAGAGAAUAUCUGCUUGUUCACUGCAGCAGCAAAAGACCCUAUGUCCACCUGUCUGGUAGGCAUCCCACUGCAGGCUGGUGACAUUCCAGUGAGCUUUGACACUCCCAGGCCUAACACAUUUCCCAAAACACACAGCGCCCAGCCACAUGAAAGCCAUAAGCGGCAGGCUGUAGUAGUUAAGAACCCUGUGGAGGAGUGGUUACCAAAACUGCCCAUGGCAGAUAAGGAACCCCAAGAAUUAGAGCUGUUGGGUUCCUCCCCCGCACCUUAUUGUGUCCACUUCACUUACAAUUCGCUGUCUGAUACUAAACUAUAUCACCACAUAAUCCUGUAUCGAGAGGAAUUCAAAGCAAAAAAAUGGUGUAGUAUGCUAAGUCAUGUCACAGCAGAUGAUCCUCUCCACUCUACAUCCAAAAUACCUCCCUAAAGGUAUAUUUUUGAUUUGUGGGGAUAGACCAUGGGCAGGGAUCCCAUCUCGGCUUCGAGGAGGGCUGUGUACUUUCAGGCGGCUGUCCCUGUUAGCACCCAUACAAACCCAAAUCACUAAAUGGAUUCAGAAAGACAAUUCGACCCAAAAAUUCCACAAGAGAAGCACUGGUAUUUUGGACCAAAAUUGUGAUUCUGAAAUUUUCCAUUGGGCAAAAUCAAAAAGAAUUGCUGUAUCCAUAUUUCUUCCAUGGGUUGCAGCUGCCAAAGCACUAGGUGAGUUAGGACACCCAGAGUGCUGGGUAGUCAAACAGGCAAAUUUAACAUCUGCCACCCUCAGCUCCCUCCUAGAAGACAAGGAGAUCACCAGGCAAGCUACACUUCAGAACCGAGCAGCCAUAGAUUUCCUUCUGCUGCUGCAUGGACACAAAUGCCAGGAAUUUGAAGGACUUUGCUGCUUAAACCUGACCUCGAAAGCUCCCAACGUCCACGUAGCCCUCCGAGAACUGAAAAACCUGAUUGGACAAGUGAAGCAAAAAUCGGAGGACUGAUUUAGCGAGCUGUUCAAAGGCUGGGGACUCACGGGAUGGUGGACUUCAAUAGUUAAAACAAUCCUGUUGAUUUUUGUUGAGAUGUUUCUGAUCAUACUAGCACUCAGGAUUGUUCAUUGUUUAAUUUUGAAGGCUCUCAGUAGUUUAAUCCCCUCUACCUCAGAAGUCAACCACAUAGAGCUAGCAGACUGAACGCAACCUAACCGACCCGCCAAUCACAAGUGGUGGACAAUCUUGUGUUCUGCGUAAGAAUAAGCCCAAAGCCCUAUCUUUAAUUUUAUAUAAUAAAAAAGGGGAAGGUGUUGUAAUGCAUUAAGGAACAUGGUAUGACCCGGAGAGACACCCUCUGAGCUGCAGAGCGGUUAGUCUCUUCCCCUGACUCCUCCCUUGUAAUGUUUUUCUAUUGGCUGUAAUUUGUAAUUCUUCCCCCUUUUCCCUCCCUUCAAAAAGCAGCGCCGGGCCAGUCUCUUCCUCUUUUCUGCAUCAGAUCCCCCGAAUAAAGCCGGGACCUCAUCCCAGAAAGAGAAGAGCCUC